ACAUGCCUAUAACAUAGCGUUAAUGCAUCGGAUCCCAUUAGAACUUCACAUUUAAGUGUGCUCAAGCUAGAGUAGUACUGGGAUGGGUGACCACCCGGGAAGUCCUAGUAUUUUACAUGCC
rnacentral:rRNA from 1 species